CGAGGUACUACGGUACUGAAGUAACAAAUGCCCUGCUUCCAGGAAAAGCCUCUAAGCAUCAGGUAACAUCAAAUCGUACCCCAAACCGACACAGGUGGUCAGGUAGAGAAUACCAAGGCGCUUGAGAGAACUCGGGUGAAGGAACUAGGCAAAAUGGUGCCGUAACUUCGGGAGAAGGCACGCUGGUGUGUAGGUGAAGUCCCUGCGGAUGGAGCUGAGACCAGUCGAAGAUACCAGCUGGCUGCAACUGUUUAUUAAAAACACAGCACUGUGCAAACACGAAAGUGGACGUAUACGGUGUGACGCCUGCCCGGUGCCGGAAGGUUAAUUGAUGGGGUUAUCCGUAAGGAGAAGCUCUUGAUCGAAGCCCCGGUAAACGGCGGCCGUAACUAUAACGGUCCUAAGGUAGCGAAAUUCCUUGUCGGGUAAGUUCCGACCUGCACGAAUGGCGUAAUGAUGGCCAGGCUGUCUCCACCCGAGACUCAGUGAAAUUGAACUCGCUGUGAAGAUGCAGUGUACCCGCGGCAAGACGGAAAGACCCCGUGAACCUUUACUAUAGCUUGACACUGAACAUUGAGCCUUGAUGUGUAGGAUAGGUGGGAGGCUUUGAAGCGUGGACGCCAGUCUGCGUGGAGCCAACCUUGAAAUACCACCCUUUAAUGUUUGAUGUUCUAACGUGGGCCCCUGACCGGGGUUGCGGACAGUGUCUGGUGGGUAGUUUGACUGGGGCGGUCUCCUCCCAAAGCGUAACGGAGGAGCACGAAGGUUAGCUAAUCCUGGUCGGACAUCAGGAGGUUAGUGCAAUGGCAUAAGCUAGCUUGACUGCGAGCGUGACGGCGCGAGCAGGUGCGAAAGCAGGUCAUAGUGAUCCGGUGGUUCUGAAUGGAAGGGCCAUCGCUCAACGGAUAAAAGGUACUCCGGGGAUAACAGGCUGAUACCGCCCAAGAGUUCAUAUCGACGGCGGUGUUUGGCACCUCGAUGUCGGCUCAUCACAUCCUGGGGCUGAAGUAGGUCCCAAGGGUAUGGCUGUUCGCCAUUUAAAGUGGUACGCGAGCUGGGUUUAGAACGUCGUGAGACAGUUCGGUCCCUAUCUGCCGUGGGCGCUGGAGAAUUGAGGGGGGCUGCUCCUAGUACGAGAGGACCGGAGUGGACGCAUCACUGGUGUUCGGGUUGUCAUGCCAAUGGCACUGCCCGGUAGCUAAAUGCGGAAGAGAUAAGUGCUGAAAGCAUCUAAGCACGAAACUUGCCCCGAGAUGAGUUCUCCCUGAGACUUUAAGUCUCCUGAAGGAACGUUGAAGACGACGACGUUGAUAGGCCGGGUGUGUAAGCGCAGCGAUGCGUUGAGCUAACCGGUACUAAUGAACCGUGAGGCUUAACCUU
rnacentral:rRNA from 1 species